CCCGCCGGUUCGCGUCUCUCUGCUGCGGCGCGGGGACCGCUGUGCUCUCGGAAGCCGUCUUCGACAAGAGCACAGGGAAGGUUGUUUUGAAGACGUUCAGCCUCUACAAGAAGCUGCUGACUCUUUUCAGAGCUGGCCACGACCAGGUGGUGGUCCUGCUGCAUGAUGUCCGUGACGUGAGCGUGGAGGAGGAGAAGGUCCGGUACUUCGGGAAGGGCUACAUGGUGGUGCUCCGGCUCGCAACGGGCUUCUCCCACCCCCUCACGCAGAGCGCGGUCAUGGGCCACCGCAGGUAAGGCUGUGGGACUUUGAUCUGGCCGGAGCUGCAGCUGUGUCAGGGGACUCCCGUUCCUGACCGCCCAGAGCUAUGGGGCAGCUGGGAGGGGAGAUGAGUUUGUGGACGGGACACAGAGGGGCCCACAGGAAGCGUGUGCAGGCUCAGGGGCAGCCCCACUGUGACUGGGAGGGUGGGAGCAGGCCCGGAAGUGCUGGGUCCAGUUUGGGAGCCCCAGGUGCUGCUGGAGGUAGGUGGUC
rnacentral:sRNA from 1 species